AAGACUGCAGCCAGAGAAAGGGAUGAGAAAUCAAUGCCUAAGUCUCUCCACUUGGGGGGGGGGGGUCAGCAGCAGAAUGAGGGUUGGGGUAGAGUAGCGGGACCUCACCAGCCCCCCCAGAACAUAUACACUCCUGUACACAGGCAGCCACAGGAGGUCAGCUGCUUACAGAAGAGGGAGGCCGGUCCAGGGUGGGAGCAGAGGGUACCCUCUAUGUCAGCACACUGGGGACCCUAAGACAGAGAAGAGGUUGGGGAGACUUCUCCAAGCCUAGGGGCUUUUCCGUCAGAUUUCCGAGAGUUGUUGGGCACCCCACCUAGCACACAGUGGGGGGCUGACUCCUUGCCCAGCAGCAGCCUGACAGCCGUGCCCAGUUAGGCGCGUAGGGGACUCAGCCAAGCCCAUGUUCCGGCCCCCGCCCCCAGCAGACACACAUCUGGCUAGCAGCUUCCAAGCCUCGUGGGUAGCACCCGGUCCCAGACAUGCUCAGCAGAGCAAGGUCGGCCAGUCUGCUCCUCCGCCUCCACUCACCCCAAAAGGCUUCCACAACCCCACGCAGCACAAGACCCGGGGACACCCCACCCAACGGCACCAGCUCGCACCCCGCACCCCAAUCUCCGCCCGCCUCCACGGGGGCACCAGCUGAGCGGGCCCCGCCCCCCAGCCUGUCCCUCCGGUGUUGGGGGAGCAGGCGGGUUCUCCCCCAAACCACGGAGCGGCUCAGCACCCCUACCCCAAGGGCCUUGUAGCCUGAGCCCCACCAAUGGCAGGCCCCAGGAGGAGGCUCACCACCUGCCACCUCCUACCCCCACCGGCUCCACCCAGUUUAGAUGCUGCAGGUCUCACUAUGCAAUUCGGGCUGGCUUUGAACUCACUGUGUAGCCCAGGUUGAAACUGAACUCAUGGAGAUCCUCCUGCCUCAGACCCCCAAGCACUGGGAUUACAGGCGCCCCCUGGUGAAGACAGGCGGGCUUUAGCAUCCCCACGGGGCUGGGCCCGCUCCUGCCCCUCUCCACUGCCCACCCCCAUCUCGCCGGACCCUGCUCCCGUGGCAACAAGCUGGUGAGACCCCUGGGCCGCUCUGCCCCCUGCCCACCACUCACCACCCCCUCUCCUACCUGCCCCACCUCCUCCUGCCACCCAGGUUGUACCGGGGCGCGAGUCUCCUUUAACGUGUCCUGGCAGCACCCCUGCCCCGGCCCCACGCCCCACGUACACACACAUGCGCUCACACACGCUUCUGCCAGCCGCACGCUGCCAGCAGCUGCCAGAGCUGUUGAGCAGGAGGGAGCCCGGGAGGGUGGGGUGCAGGGAUUGGGUUUCCAGCUCCGAGGGGGUGGGCCGUCACCCAAUCCCUUCUCCCUCCCGCGGCCUCCCUCCAGCCUCUGGCAGGCAGCCCACUACCCUUGGAGCCCGGCCCCCACCCCCAGUCCACCUAGUGUAGGAAGUAAGCGUUGGAGAGUAUUUGUCAUGCGGAGACCAGCCCAGGAGAGGAGAGAAGCAGCAAGGCGGAGACAGACAGACAGACAGACAAACAGACGGGAUUCCUGUGCUCUGUGCUCCAGCUGCAACCAACCACUAGCACCCACCCCUGCCUCCAGGCCUCAGAGAAGGGAUCCCUUUGGACCAGGAAUCAGAAGCCCAGAGCCUGAGCUGGCCGAGGUAAACCACACCUGUGAUCCCAGCACUGAGGAGGCUGAGGCAAGAGGAUCACCACAAGUUUGAGGCCAGUUUACCCUACAUAGUGAGUUGAAGCCCAGCCUGGCCUACAGAGCGAGACCCAAAACAAACUAACAAAUAAACCUGUCCUGUCUCCCUGCCAAUCAGCCCUGCUUGCUUCCUGAGCUGGGGAAUCCUAGUCGUCCUGUCCUUAACUGGUCCUGUCACUGUGGACACAUCCCUGGCCGGGUCCCUGGCCGGGUCCCUGGUCUAAUAGGAGGCAACUGGGCAGGACGCCC
ensembl:lncRNA